rnacentral:rRNA from 1 species
GGUUAAGUGACUAAGCGUAUGUGGUGGAUGCCUUGGCAGUUAGAGGCGAUGAAGGACGUGUUAAUCUGCGAAAAGCGAAGAUAAGGUGAUAAAAACCGUUAUAGUCUUCGAUGUCCGAAUGGGGAAACCCACUUGUCAUAAGACAGGUAUCGUUAAGUGAAUACAUAGCUUAACGAGGCGAACCGGGAGAACUGAAACAUCUAAGUACCCCGAGGAAAAGAAAUCAACCGAGAUUUCCUUAGUAGCGGCGAGCGAACGGGAACUAGCCCUUAAGCUAGAAAGAAGUUAGUGGAAUGUUCUGGAAAGGACAGCGAUACAGGGUGAUAGCCCCGUACACAAAAAUGACUUUUUAGUGAAAUCGAGUAGGACGGAGCACGUGAAACUUUGUCNNNNNNNNNNGGAAAGGCGAAAAGAACCCCUGUGAGGGGAGUGAAAUAGAACCUGAAACCGCAUACGUACAAGCAGUGGGAGCCCUUAGGGGUGACUGCGUACCUUUUGUAUAAUGGGUCAGCGACUUAUAUUUUGUAGCAAGGUUAACCGAUUAGGGGAGCCGUAGCGAAAGCGAGUGUUAACUGCGCGUUUAGUUGCAAGGUAUAGACCCGAAACCCGGCGAUCUACCCAUGGGCAGGUUGAAGGUUGAGUAACAUCAACUGGAGNNNNNNNNNCUAGGAGUGAAAGGCUAAUCAAACCGGGAGAUAGCUGGUUCUCCCCGAAAUCUAUUUAGGUAGAGCCUCGGACGAACACCAUUGGGGGUAGAGCACUGUUAAGGCUAGGGGGUCAUCCCGACUUACCAACCCUUUGCAAACUCCGAAUACCAAUGAGUGAUAUCCGGGAGACACACUGUGGGUGCUAACGUCCAUUGUGAAGAGGGAAACAACCCAGACCGCCAGCUAAGGUCCCAAAGUACUAGUUAAGUGGGAAACGAUGUGGAAAGGCAUAGACAGCUAGGAGGUUGGCUUAGAAGCAGCCAUC